UACAUACAACAGUAUAUAUUUGAUCACUUAUUUUUUGACAUUUUAGGGGAAGCUGAGCUUCCCUUGCAGUCUUAGAGCAAUCGCCACUGGUCCUGACAAAUGCUUUUUAAGCUUUUUAACAGCUUUUAUAUAGGACAAACAUUCAUUUGCUUAUACAUUUUUGAUACUGGCUAAAUUGUAUUUGUGGUCAUGCUGUUUCACCAUAUUGAAAGAAGUCACAUAUGAAAGUUCAUCUGAUCACGAUGUCUUUUUGGGCUACAUUCCGAAGGACCUACACUGCUUUGUUAAAAGUAUUUGCCAACUUACACAUUCUUUCUCUUAUUAUUUUUCUUUCUUUACUCUUAUGUGUUUUAGGUUGUCAAGCAAACUUCACAAUCAGAAACCCAACAUAACUUGGCACUGUGUGCAAAUAUAGGAGCCCCUACUUGUUAAUUAACUAGCUGUUCUUAACUGUAUAUUUUUUUUGGUUCAGUUGUAUUGACCACACCCAGAUAUUUUUACUGCCAGACCUGUGGAAUCAAGAAAUCACUUUAAGGCAACUUGUUCUACAACAUGAAAAAGGCAAAACGUUUCAAGUAAGCAACCAUCCACAGGGUGAGGCAUUAUCCACAAAUGAAGAAAAUCCAUGAUAGUGGUCAACCUUCCCAAGAGUGGUUUGACUACAAAAUAACUAGACAUUAGGAGACAUUAAGAAUACUAGUGUCAGGGUUUGGGUUAAGUGUGUGUGUUUGUGUUUUGUUCGCACUUUGUUUUCAGUUUCCAGAUGGUGCUGGAGUUUCUCAGGUGUGCUGGAUGACAGGUGCAACUGAUCUGCUGAUUGCUUGGAGGAGUAUUUAAGCAGGAGGCUGCCAGCACUUCGAUGCCAGAGUGUUUGCCUUCAGUGGUAACAAGCUCAGCCACUACUAAGCUAUGCAUCGUUUCUUGUCUCUAAGCUGGCUUUGUGUAUGUUCCUUUGCAGGCAGAAACCUGAAUCUUUUGGCUAUCUUCGUUGAACUCUGACUUCGGUUCCAGAAGUUUCUGGACGAUCAAGAUUACUUACGUUUGGUACAUUUUGUUUCCAAGGACCAAGCUGGCCUGUUUUCCUCGGUCUCCUGAACCAAGGCAUAAGCGUACCCUGUCCACCCUCCAACGCAAGUACCUGAACAUUGAACUAACUCCUGACCUCACCACAGCUCAUUCAACAGCACAAGCAAAACCAUCUGGAAUACUCCACUUUGUAAACCUGGACCCCGAAUCCCUAUACCCCUGGCGACCUGACUGCCCUUACUUAUUGGCGAUUCUACCGUUCACGUUACAGUCUCACUUUUUGGAAAUAAAACACCAUUCACCGA